rnacentral:rRNA from 1 species
UACGUAGGGGGCAAGCGUUGUCCGGAAUCAUUGGGCGUAAAGCGAGCGUAGGCGGCCCGAUAAGUCUGCUGUGAAAGUCAACGGCUCAACCGUUGAAAGCCGGUGGAUACUGUCGGGCUAGAGUUCGGAAGAGACAAGUGGAAUUCCUGGUGUAGCGGUGGAAUGCGCAGAUAUCAGGAGGAACACCCAUAGCGAAGGCAGCUUGCUGGGACGAUACUGACGCUAAGGCUCGAAAGCGUGGGGAGCGAACAGG